CACUCUCACUCAUGUGGCCUCUCACACUUUCCAGGGGCAUCUGAAGAUGUGACUCAGAUCAUCUCCCGUGUGCCGGGCACUGUUCUAGGUUGGAGGGCGCAGCCGUGAAUAAGAGAGACCAAAGUCCCUGGUCUUCUGGACUCCUACUCCAGUGGCGCGAGAGACAACGAGCCUGCUGGCUCCCUUGCUCACUCACCCUGAGCUCCCGUGGAAAUGUCGCCCGGCCUGCCCCCUACCGCCCCCUCCUGGGCACCACUGCCCCACACCGAAUGCCGGCGAGGGAGCAACCGGGGUUGACCCUUGAGCUGCAGGUGAGACCAGGUGAGAAAGCGGGUGGGGAGGCAGGUGGAAAGGAAGCUCGCGGAGCGUGUGGGUCAGAGCGUCGGUAAAGAUACAGGCCAGCCUGCGGCGGGAGAUGUCGGCGUGGGCCAGGCGGGAGUGCCCGGAAUGUAAGUGGAUACUACCGGGGCGUAGGUGGGACCACAGGUCAAGGUUCAGAUGACAAUAUCGGUGGUAGGAACGCGGGUGAGGGUGCCGGCAGGGGCAGGUAAGCACGCAGGUGGGAAGGCUGGGCUGAGGGGCAGGCCAGGCCGGCAGGCGCA